rnacentral:tRNA from 1 species
ACAUUAGUGGUUCAGUGGUAGAAUUCUUACCUUCUAUGCAGAAGAUCUAGGUUCAAUUCCUAGCCAAUGCA